rnacentral:tRNA from 3 species
CGGGGCGUAGCGCAGCCUGGUAGCGCACCUGCCUUGGGCGCAGGGGGUCGGAGGUUCGAAUCCUCUCGCCCCGACCA